CUUCAAUGCGCCCAGCCACAAGGGCCGUUCGGCGUUUCGCUGCCCGUAGGUGGCCAGCAGCGCCUGCGCCUC
rnacentral:antisense_RNA from 1 species